UCACAGGGGGGGGGCAGUCCAAAUUUUUGGCACAAAGCAUCAUCAUGACAAAUGGCUGAAGGCUGCUGAGAAUUUUCAGGUUAAGGGCUGUUUUGUGAUGACCGAGUUGGGGCAUGGAAGUAAUGUCAGAGGACUUGAGACUAUCACGACUUAUGAUGCAAACACAGGAGAGUUUGUGAUAAACACUCCCUGUGAAUCAGCACAGAAGUAUUGGAUAGGAGGAGCUGCUAAUGAUGCAACACAUGCAGUAAUCUUCUCUCAGCUCCUUAUAAAUGGGACCAACCAAGGGGUGCAUGUAUUUAUAGCACAAAUCAGAGAUGCAGAAGGAAAUGUUUGUCCCAAUGUUCGCGUCGCUGAUUGUGGUCAUAAAAUUGGCUUGAAUGGUGUUGAUAAUGGCAG